GACGAACGCUGGCGGCGUGCUUAACACAUGCAAGUCGAACGAUGAAGCCGGAGCUUGCUCUGGUGAAUUAGUGGCGAACGGGUGAGUAACACGUGAGUAACCUGCCCUUGACUCUGGGAUAACUGCGGGAAACUGUAGCUAAUACCGGAUACGACCCUCGGAGGCAUCUCCUGGGGGUGGAAAGAAUUUCGGUCAAGGAUGGACUCGCGGCCUAUCAGCUAGUUGGGGAGGUAAAGGCUCACCAAGGCGACGACGGGUAGGCGGCCUGAGAGGGUGACCGGCACCACUGGGACUGAGACACGGCCCAGACUCCUUCGGGAGGCAGCAGUGGGGAAUAUUGCGCAAUGGGCGCAAGCCUGAUGCAGCAACGCCGCGUGAGGGAUGACGGCCUUCGGGUUGUAAACCUCUUUUAGCAGGGAAGAAGCGAAAGUGACGGUACCUGCAGAAAAAGCACCGGCUAACUACGUGCCAGCCGCCGCCGUAA
rnacentral:rRNA from 1 species